AUUGCACGCUGGCGGCAGGCCUAACACAUGCAAGUCGAACGAGUGGCGGACGGGUGAGUAAUGUCUGGGAAACUGCCCGAUGGAGGGGGAUAACUACUGGAAACGGUAGCUAAUACCGCAUACCAUCGGAUGUGCCCAGUGGGGAUUAGCUAGUAGGUGGGGGAACGGCUCAACUGGGCGCCGAUCCCUAGCUGGUCUGAGAGGAUGACCAGCCACACUGGAACGGGGACACGGUCCAGACUCCUACGGGAGGCAGCAGUGGGGAAGAUUGAACAAGGGGUGCAAGCCUGCUGCAGCCAUGCCGGGUGGAUGAAGAAGGCCUUCGGGUUGUAAAGUACUUUCAGCGAGGAGGCGUUACUCGCAGAAGAAGGACCGGCUAACUCCGUGCCAGCCGCCGCGGUAAUUC
rnacentral:rRNA from 1 species